CCCUACGGGCGGCUGCAGUGGGGAAUAUUGCACAAUGGGCGGAAGCCUGAUGCAGCGACGCCGCGUGGGGGAUGACGGUCUUCGGAUUGUAAACCCCUUUCAGUAGGGACGAAGCGCAAGUGACGGUACCUGCAGAAGAAGCACCGGCCAACUACGUGCCAGCAGCCGCGGUAAUACGUAGGGUGCGAGCGGUGUCCGGAAUUACUUGGCGUAAAAAGCUCGUAGGCGGUUUGUCGCGUCGUCCGUGAAAACUCGGAGCUUAACCCCGAGCUUGCGGGUGAUACGGGCAGACUUGAGUACUACAGGGGAGACUGGAAUUACUGGUGUAGCGGUGAAAUGCGCAGAUAUCAGGAGGAACACCGGUGGCGAAGGCGGGUCUCUGGGUAGUAACUGACGCUGAGGAGCGAAAGCAUGGGUAGCGAACAGGAUUAGAUACCCUAGUAGUCUUC
rnacentral:rRNA from 1 species